AGAGUUUGAUCCUGGCUCAGGACGAACGCUGGCGGCGUGCCUAAUACAUGCAAGUCGAGCGAGCCGAACUAAUUGAUUACCUUCGGGUAUGAAGUUAGGGAAGCGAGCGGCGGAUGGGUGAGUAACACGUGGGUAACCUACCCUAUAGUCUGGGAUACCACUUGGAAACAGGUGCUAAUACCGGAUAAAAGGAGAGAUCACAUGAUUUCUUUUUGAAAGGCGGCGUAAGCUGUCGCUAAAGGAUGGACCCGCGGUGCAUUAGCUAGUUGGUAAGGUAACGGCUUACCAAGGCAACGAUGCAUAGCCGAGUUGAGAGACUGAUCGGCCACAUUGGGACUGAGACACGGCCCAAACUCCUACGGGAGGCAGCAGUAGGGAAUCUUCCACAAUGGACGAAAGUCUGAUGGAGCAACGCCGCGUGAGUGAAGAAGGUUUUCGGAUCGUAAAACUCUGUUGUAAGGGAAGAACAAGUACGUUAGGAACUGAACGUACCUUGACGGUACCUUAUUAGAAAGCCACGGCUAACUACGUGCCAGCAGCCGCGGUAAUACGUAGGUGGCAAGCGUUGUCCGGAUUUAUUGGGCGUAAAGCGAGCGCAGGCGGAAAGAUAAGUCAGAUGUGAAAGCCCUCGGCUUAACCGAGGAAUAGCAUCGGAAACUGUCUUUCUUGAGUGCAGAAGAGGAGAGUGGAACUCCAUGUGUAGCGGUGGAAUGCGUAGAUAUAUGGAAGAACACCAGUGGCGAAGGCGGCUCUCUGGUCUGUAACUGACGCUGAGGCUCGAAAGCAUGGGUAGCGAACAGGAUUAGAUACCCUGGUAGUCCAUGCUGUAAACGAUGAGUGCUAAGUGUUGGGAGGUUUCCGCCUCUCAGUGCUGCAGCUAACGCAUUAAGCACUCCGCCUGGGGAGUACGACCGCAAGGUUAAAACUCAAAGGAAUUGACGGGGGCCCGCACAAGCGGUGGAGCAUGUGGUUUAAUU
rnacentral:rRNA from 1 species